UACGUAGGGCGCAAGCGUUGUCCGGAAUUAUUGGACGUAAAGAGCUCGUAGGCGGCUUGUCGCGUCGGUUGUGAAAGCCCGGGGCUUAACCCCGGGUCUGCAGUCGAUACGGGCAGGCUAGAGUUCGGUAGGGGAGAUCGGAAUUCCUGGUGUAGCGGUGAAAUGCGCAGAUAUCAGGAGGAACACCGGUGGCGAAGGCAGGUCUCUGGGCUGACACUGACGCUCAUGCACGAAAGCGUGGGGAGCAAACAGG
rnacentral:rRNA from 1 species